rnacentral:rRNA from 1 species
UAAGUGAAUAGUGAAUCUGGUGGCUCAACCAUCAACACAUUAUUCAAACUGGCAAACUCGAGAAUGAGAGAGGUCACUGGAAUUCCCUGUGUAGGAGUGAAAUCCGUAGAUAUAGGGAGGAACACCAAUGGCGUAGGCAGGUGACUGGCUCAUUUCUGACACUGAGGCACGAAAGCGUGGGGAGCGAACGGGAUUAGAUACCCCGGUAGUCCACGCCGUAAACGAUGGAUGCUA